GACGAGGGGUCCAAGCGUUGUUCGGAAUUACUGGGCGUAAAGCGCGUGUAGGUGGAUUGGUGUGUCAGAUGUGAAAUCCCUGGGCUCAACCCAGGAACUGCACCUGAAACUACCAGUCUUGAGUGGUGGAGAGGGAAGUGGAAUUCCUGGUGUAGAGGUGAAAUUCGUAGAUAUCAGGAGGAACACCAGUGGCGAAGGCGGCUUCCUGGACACCAACUGACGCUGAGACGCGAAAGCGUGGGGAGCAAACAGG
rnacentral:rRNA from 1 species